rnacentral:rRNA from 1 species
UAGGGAAUAUUGGACAAUGGGCGCAAGCCUGAUCCAGCCAUCCCGCGUGAAGGAUUAAGGCCCUAUGGGUUGUAAACUUCUUUUCUCUGGGAAUAAAAAGUGGGAUUUACCCUGCCUUGAAGGUACCAGAGGAAUAAGCACCGGCUAACUCCGUGCCAGCAGCCGCGGUAAUACGGAGGGUGCAAGCGUUAUCCGGAUUCACUGGGUUUAAAGGGUGCGUAGGUGGCUUUAUAAGUCAGUGGUGAAAGCCCGGAGCUCAACUCCGGAACUGCCAUUGAUACUGCUUAGCUUGAAUCAGGUAGAGGUGGAUGGAAUAAUACAUGUAGCGGUGAAAUGCUUAGAGAUGUAUUAGAACACCGAUUGCGAAGGCAGUUCACUAUGCCUGCAUUGACACUGAGGCACGAAAGCGUGGGGAUCAAACAGGAUUAGAUACCCCUGUAGUCC